CACACAGCUCCAUCACCUGAGACAAAAGGAACUGAAACAAGCAUCACCCCGCUGCCAAAUACUACCCAAACAUCAGAUACAUUCAGUGCCUAUUCUUGGAUUGUGCCAAUGGUUGUGUUAUUUCUGUUCCUGUUGCCCCUGACUGGUUUCCUGGUGAGGUUUCUGAUGAAGAAGGGAUUGAUAUGCACUAGAGCAAGGAAAACAACUUCGACAACAGAGGCAUUGUCUGCUCUAAGAACAGACAUUGACCUCUCCACAAGACUACAAGAUCCACUUCCAAAUACCGCAGUCUGACAGUCUGACCAGGUUCACAGCGGAUGCCAUUUCCCAAGCCCUGCACUUUUCCCUGGAACAUCUAGAAAAUGAGGACAUCCAUGUCAGACUCCUACUUAUGGACUACAGCUCCAUCUUCAACACAAUAACCCGCUCCAGACUAAUAUCAAGACUCCAAACCGAGGUCUUGACUCCACCUUCUGCAACUGAAUCCUCAGCUUCUUAACCCAUAGACCAAAAUCAGUGAAGACUGGAGAACUGCAUCUCCUCCACAACAAUCCUCAAUGCUGGCACCCCUCCAGGAUGCAUUCUCAACCCCCUCCUGUUCCCCCUGUACAACCAUGACUGUGUAGCCAAAUUCCAAGUGAAUGCCAUCUGCAAGUUUGCUGAUAACAUGUUGGUGUCAGACUGGAUAUCAAACAACGAUGAGUCAGAAUGCAGAAAGGAGAGAGGGCUUGGUGUGAUGGUGAAAUGAUAACAAGCCUUCACUGUCAGCAAAACAAAAGAACUGAUCAUUCCUAUCAGGAAGAAAGGUGGAGAGCGUGCUCCCAUCCACAUCAAAGGAGCUGAGCUGGAGACGUUUGAGAGCAUCACGUUCUUCGGAGUAACGAUAACCAACAAUCUGUCCUGGACUUACCAUGUUGUUAUGGCAGUCAAGAAGGCACAACAACACCUCUUCUUCCUCAUGGAGCUUAGGAAAUUUGGCAGGGCCAUGAGGACCCUCUCCAACUUCUAUAAAUGCAUCAUAGAAAGCAUUCUAUCCAGGUGCAUAACAGCCUAGUACAGCAACUGCUCUGCUUAGGACUGUAAAAAAGACUACAGAAGGUUGUGUACAUAGCCCAGACCAUCACAGAAGCCAACCUCCCAUCCAUGGACUCCAGUUACAUGGCUCUCUGCUUCAGAAAGGCUGCCAAUAUCAUCACAGACCCUUUCCACCCUGCUAAUGCUCUCCUACAACCUCUUCCAUCAGGAAGAAGAUACCGGAGCUUAAACACAUGCACCAACAGGUUCAAGAACAGCUUCUUUCCUGCUAUUAUUUGACAGAUGCAUGGACUGUGUAACUUCAAAUAAAGUUGGUCUUGAUAAUGUUGAUCUUGCCUAGCGCACCUCCUGUGCAGUGUAACCUGUGUGCCUCAUUCUGUCUGAGCACCCUAUGUUCUGCAUGUCCUCAUUUGCAAUGAUCUACCUGUACUGCUCGCACCUAAGCUCUUCACUGUACUUAGGUACAUGUGACAAUAAAUCAAAUCAAAUAUUUGUGCUUAUUGAUUGCCACUCUUAAUUAUCUUGCCAUUAUUUCUCUGCCUACAUAUUCUGUGCUGAGUGCCUCUCCACUUCAUCUGCCAAAGGAGUAGUGUUCUGAAAGAUUGUGAUUUUAAAUAAACCUGUUAGACUAUAA